GGCGACGUGGUCACACCGUGGUCACACCGUGGUCACAGAAGUCCCAUAACGGGACCGGAUUGGGCAACAUUCGCCUGACGUGCGGACGGCGGGAAACCCGCUUUGAGCUCGACAAACGCCCAUCAACUCGCACCAGGGAACAUGGCCGCUUUCGGGUUCGAUUCCCGGUGUCGCCUCCA
rnacentral:tRNA from 1 species